rnacentral:rRNA from 1 species
UACGUAGGGUGCGAGCGUUGUCCGGAAUUAUUGGGCGUAAAGGGCUCGUAGGCGGCUUGUCACGUCGGGUGUGAAAGACCGGGGCUUAACUCCGGUUCUGCAUUCGAUACGGGCUAGCUAGAGUGUGGUAGGGGAGAUCGGAAUUCCUGGUGUAGCGGUGAAAUGCGCAGAUAUCAGGAGGAACACCGGUGGCGAAGGCGGAUCUCUGGGCCAUUACUGACGCUGAGGAGCGAAAGCGUGGGGAGCGAACAGG